rnacentral:tRNA from 1 species
GGCCUCGUAACUCAGUUGGCUAGAGUUUGGGCUGUACUAAAGCCUUCCCGUUGCAGAUGUGGGUUCGAAUCCCACAGAGGCCA